GUCAUUGCAGUGGCAGUAUCGUAGCCAAUGAGGUUUAUCCGAGGCGUGAUUAUUGCUAAUUGAGAAGUCAUCAGUGAGAGAUGUUUCCAGGGGCCAUGAGCUUCCUGGCACUUCAAAUCUUCCCCAUGCAUGGA